GCAGCGUGUGAAGGCAGAUUGGAUCGGUGGAUCGUGAGCUCUCCAUGCAUGCACCUGAUUAUUCACCAGAGGCUGGAUGGUGAUGGAUGGCGUGGAGUUCGAUCGGCUACUGCUGCUUGGUGUAGAUGGCUCGUUGCAGAUUGCCGGUGUCGAGGUAGCUGCGCGGAAGGUCCGACGUGGCUUGUCAUGUACCGUGUUCUCGGCCGGCCGGCGGCUUGAAGCACAGAUUCUGCUCUGAUUUUCACCUGGACGAGGGUAGCUGGAGACCAUAGGGUAUUUUCGUGGCCAAUAAAAAAGCUAAUGAAAUUUGGGAAUCAAGAAUUGAUCUAAUCUCUAUAAUACCGAUCUCAUCUACGAUGACCGGAAAACACUAAUUAACGAGGGAGUCCUCCAGGGAGAUUAUGGAGAUCGAUCUCCCCGGGGGCGGCAUGAUGCGGAAGGUGUGACCAAAGAUCGGCGACGUCCGUCUAACCGUUUUGAUACCAUGUAAAAUAUGACAUUGGAAGCUUAAUUGGUAUUUCACGAUAUUUGUUUUUUUUUUUAUCUGACCCUCGUAUGAGGUAUAUAUAGAGGUACAAGGAGGAGAUAGACUUGGAGUAUAAGACAAGCAAUAUCGUUUAAAUUGAUCCUAUCUUAUCUCUCUAACCCAACCAUAUUAUAUCUCUUACAGCAAAUAUGAGGCGCAGGCCACCGGCGGUGACCCACGGAGGCUGUGGGCGUC
rnacentral:lncRNA from 1 species